AUGCUGCUGAAAGUGCUGGAUGGGGGGCUGCCCCUGGCCCAACCCCAGGAGGCCCGGCUGGGCGGCUGCCGAGUUCUGCUGCUGCGGGGCCAGCAGCGCCCGCGCCUGCCCCAGCUGCUGGGAGAGCACGAGGCGGUGCCCCAGCAUCCCCGGAGGCUGCGGCGCCAGCUGGGGCGACCCCAGCACCCGCUGCUGGUGCUGGGCAAGAAGAACUUGGCGCUGGGGCGCGGGGUGGCCCAGCACCGCCUGGUGCUGCAGCCCCGGCGCGUGGCCCAGCAAGCCCGGCUGCUGCAUCGACACCUGCCCCAUGACGCCCGGCUGCUGCAUCGACGCCUGUCCCAUCACACCCGAUUGCUGCAUCGACGCCUGUGCCAUGACGCCCGCUUGCUGCAUCGACGCCUGCCCCAUCACACCCGACUGCUGCAUGGACGCCUGUCCCAUGACGCCCUGUUGCUGCUGCUGCAGGGACACCUGCCCCAGCAUAUUCUGCUGCUGCUGCAGUUUCUGGGCCAGCUGCAUCCUCUGAAGCUGCCUCUCCUGCAUCAGACGGCUGUCGGCAGCCAGCCCGCGGAGCGCAGGGUUCCCAGGGAAGAAAGCGUUGGAGGUGCCGGGCACCGGGGCGUUCCCCACCGCCUGCUGGCCCAUGAAGGACAGGCCCUGCUGCACGGCCAUGGACACGCCGCCCUGGGGCAGGCGCAGCCCCCCGGGCUGCCCCGGCUGCUGGCCAAGGCCUUGGGCACCCACCACGGCCCCCGGCGGCUGCUGGACGCCGUGCGCCGAGAGGAGCUGCCCGGGGAGCUUGGACAUGAGGCGGGGGCUCUGCGAAGGGCUCAGGGCCAUGACGGCCGAGGCUUGGUGCUGGUGCUGCUGCUGCUUGUUGCGGUACUCGGCCAUGAGGUUGGUGUGCUCCUUCUGCUGCUUCCGCACCUGCGGGGGGGGGGGGGACAGGGGGGCGUUAGCACCGGGGCACCCCGCAAAAUGACGGGGAGCCCACCCGCCCGCGUAACCCUACCUGGUCCAGCUGCUUCUGGAUCUUGCUCUGCUGCUCCGUAA
rnacentral:lncRNA from 1 species